GCCAUAUCAUACCGUAAACGUCGGCUGCGAUUUUACGGAUGUUUCGAGAAGAUUCGCCGCGUUUGGAGAAGUGUGGAUAUUAACAUCGGAGCUGCAACAGUUCUUCAGCAUCAUGGAAUUUACCGAAAACUGAAAAGGGACUAAAUCCUCUCAGAGAUACAGAACAGCACGUGAAGUUGGACAAAGAUUAAGACACACAUGUAUAUAUAUAUAUCAAUCACACCAAAGGGCGAGGUGUAUUUGCAAAAGGCUUUAUGUUGAAAGGUUCAUUCAUUCUUGAAUCCAGAGGAAUCUUGUAUAAGCAUUGAUGCUUCAAGUGUUGACAGAUCACUUGGGAGACUAGUGAAUGAUGAGCAGAAACCCAAUGCAAAGAUGAAAAACCCAAUGGUGGAUGGUAUGCCCCAUCUUUUUUAUUGGCCAUUAUGGAUGGAAGGGAAGUUCGAGAGAUUACUGAUGACUAUGGAGGUGUUGACUUGCCAUGACAUUCCUGCCAUGGACAGGAAAUGCCCAAGUGGAUAACGGAGGUAAAUGCACAUCUGCAAGAACACCAUGGACGAAAGCUGAGGUCAACGCUGUGAUGUGACACAUGAAAGGUCACUUGGCAUCUAAGAGGGAUUGUGAGGUGUGCAAAAAGUGUGAGCAUCCAGCUCUACAAAACAGCACAUGCCAAAAUAUCAGAGAUUUUGUUUGAACCAUUAAACGUCAUUUUGGAUUUUAACUAAAAAAAAUUGUCCAAGGGACUAAACCUCUGUCACGUUUUCACUUGUGAUUUUAUUGUGAAGGUAUUUUUUUAGUAGUUUUGUUUUUAUUCCCAUCACUGAGUGACAGUGUUUUGUACCUUUAUUUCACAACAUGUUUAACAUGGUUACUCUCUGAAUGAUGCUGUUGAAGAUUUUAAUGUAGAUGUUUAUUCCAAUGGAC